rnacentral:lncRNA from 10 species
ACCGAGCCAGGCACAUCACACACGAUCCACUUAACCCUCAGAGCAACAUCUGAGAACUGCGGUUCAGAGAAGGGAGUGUCUUGCCCAAAGCCACUCAGCUGGUAAGUGGCAAGGCUGAUUUCCAGCUUGAGGUGUCUGACUCCCCAAAAUCUUCCUUUUUAGUGACUGUGCCCUACUGCUUCACUAAGAAAAGCCUCUCUCCCACCUCCCGCUUGAUAGCUCAAAAUUAAUAUCUUCUUUUCUCUCCUCUUCCCUUCCCUCUUCUACCUCUCCACUCCCGCAAACGCCCAUUCUCCCUUCUCUCUCACUGUUCCUUCCCCUGGGCUCUGGUACACACUCACACAGACACCUCAGGAUGGACAGGAAGCUGCCUUUUUCUUUAUGAGUGAGGGUUUGUGCUGACAGCCCAAUCCGAGAGGUGGCAGUCAGACACAGCAAAGCCUGCAGUGUGGUCUGACUUAAUGAGCCCCCGCAGAAGCAGGAAUGGAAGGCUGUGUGUGUGUGUGUGUGUGUGUGUGUGUGUGUGUGUUGGGAUGGAGAAUGCAGCCAAGGGUUGGGCCGUUUCCAGUGCACCAGAAGAUACAGCUAGAAGCUAGAAGCUAGAAGGCGUCGACGUGGCUUUUCUCUCAAGGGAUGAGCACACCCUCGGAAGUGGUUUUUCAACACAUAUUAAGCCGGCCCCAAAUUCCCCCAGGGCGAUGGAGAUGGGGGCUUGGCAGCAGUUGCCACACAUUGGCCAAGCUGUGAUCUACCAGCCAAUCUGGAUCUUCCAGCUGGGGCCUCCUGCCCUUUUCUCUUCGGAUCCCUGGGAGGCUUAACCAGUGCUCCGUUUGUGAUCUUUAAGUAAUCUGUUCCAUCAUUAAUUCUUCCAACAAAUAUGGAUGAGCGCUUGCCUGUGCUAGGUGCUGGGGAUACGGUAGUGAGCGGAGCAGAUGUCCUGAUGGGUGAGAGACACAGAGCGAGUGAUGAUGAUGAAGUGGCGUGAGUGUGAUGCUAGGAGGAGCAGCCGGGACACAGCCUGGUCUAGGGUCAGAGAAGCCUCUACAUGGAAGAGGUGUUUGAUCUGAGACCCAAAGGACAAAGAGGAGUUAACAAAACAUAAGAUGAGGGAGGGAGGGGCUUCAGGCCGACAGAACAGCAGGGGAAAUGCUGGGGUUGAGAGAACGUGUGAUCCACCCAGGAAAUCGAGAGGUUCUGUUAGUUAGGAGGAUGGGAUAUGGAUAGGGGGACAGGAUGAGGGAUGAGGCUGGAGUGCCUGCUAGAAGACUGGCCAUUAUCCUAAGAGCAGUGCCAAGCCGGGGAGGCUUGGAAUGGUGAUAAGUGAGUGGCAGGAGCAGAGCUGGGCUUUAAGAUAGGGCUCCAGGAUAUAUGUGGACAAGACCUGCAGGAGAGAAAGUGUGGGAGAGGGGGUCCAAUGAGGGGCACUACUGCAGCAGCAUAAGGAAGAGAAGAGAGGCUGAGAGGUGGGAUGACCUUGAAAGCCCUUUGGAGGCUGAGUUGGUGUUGCUUUGUGGAUGUAGAUGGGGAAGGAUGGUAGCGGUCAAGGCUGACACCUGGAUUUCUGUCGGAAACAGAACCUCCUGUUGAAAGGUGCCGUUCACUGGGAUGGGAAAGAUUGAAGGGGAAGCAGCUGGAGAAUGGGGAAAAGGUGGUGGGUUUAAGAUGCUGCCAAGAAAGGGUCCAAAGGGAGAUAUCUGUGGGUAGCUGGACACCGGAGCUGGAGCUCAGGAGAGGGCUGGAGCUGCAGGUUUGGGCAUCGUUGCCUUCUUUGUGGUAAUAAGCUAUGCACAUAGACACACUUGUUAGGGAGAGGGUGUAGAGAAGGCAAAGGGCUCUUACAAGAACUUGAGCUCAUUGAAGGCUGCUGGGAGAGGGCUGGAUGGUGGCAGGGAAGGGCUGAAGAUCAAGAUGGA